GAUGAACGCUGGCGGCGUGCUUAACACAUGCAAGUCGAACGGAAAGGCCCAAGCUUGCUUGGGUGCUCGAGUGGCGAACGGGUGAGUAACACGUGGGUGAUCUGCCCUGCACUUCGGGAUAAGCCUGGGAAACUGGGUCUAAUACCGGAUAGGACGAUGGUUUGGAUGCCAUUGUGGAAAGUUUUUUCGGUGUGGGAUGAGCUCGCGGCCUAUCAGCUUGUUGGUGGGGUAAUGGCCUACCAAGGCGUCGACGGGUAGCCGGCCUGAGAGGGUGUACGGCCACAUUGGGACUGAGAUACGGCCCAGACUCCUACGGGAGGCAGCAGUGGGGAAUAUUGCACAAUGGGCGCAAGCCUGAUGCAGCGACGCCGCGUGGGGGAUGACGGCCUUCGGGUUGUAAACUCCUUUCGCUAGGGACGAAGCGUUUUUGUGACGGUACCUGGAGAAGAAGCACCGGCUAACUACGUG
rnacentral:rRNA from 1 species